GAUGAACGCUGGCGGCGUGCCUAAUACAUGCAAGUCGAGCGAACAGACGAGGAGCUUGCUCCUUUGACGUUAGCGGCGGACGGGUGAGUAACACGUGGAUAACCUACCUAUAAGACUGGGAUAACUUCGGGAAACCGGAGCUAAUACCGGAUAAUAUAUUGAACCGCAUGGUUCAAUAGUGAAAGACGGUUUUGCUGUCACUUAUAGAUGGAUCCGCGCCGCAUUAGCUAGUUGGUAAGGUAACGGCCUACCAAGGCAACGAUGCGUAGCCGACCUGAGAGGGGGGUCGGCCCCCUGGGAACUGGAACCCGGUCCAGGCUCCUAAGGGAGGGAGCAGGAGGGAAUCUUCCGCAAUGGGCGAAAGCCUGACGGAGCAACGCCGCGUGAGUGAUGAAGGUCUUCGGAUCGUAAAACUCUGUUAUUAGGGAAGAACAAAUGUGUAAGUAACUAUGCACGUCUUGACGGUACCUAAUCAGAAAGCCACGGCUAACUACGUG
rnacentral:rRNA from 1 species